rnacentral:rRNA from 1 species
UACGUAGGCGGCGAGCGUUGUUCGGAGUUACUGGGCGUAAAGAGUGCGCAGGCGGUUUUCUAAGUUUGGUGUGAAAUCUCCCGGCUUAACUGGGAGGGUGCGCCGAAAACUGGAAGGCUUGAGUAUGGGAGAGGUAAGCGGAAUUCCUGGUGUAGCGGUGAAAUGCGUAGAUAUCAGGAGGAACACCUGCGGUGUAGACGGCUUACUGGACCAUAACUGACGCUGAGGCACGAAAGCGUGGGUAGCAAACAGG